CAAAGGAAGCAAAGGAACAACGAAAAUUGAGGGAUGAUGAGAAAAAAGAAAUGAAGGGAAGGAAGAAUGAAACAAUAAAGGAGAACUAUAGGAAGAAAGGAAGGAAAGAAGGAGAAAAUAGUCUUCUAACACUUAUAAAGAUAGGUUAUCAGUGGAUGCCUCACCUUAGAAAAGUCCCGUAAAACUGAGGAAGAUUGUGGGAGGUAUCCUUGGGGGUCAUCUAGACCAGCACUCCAGCCUGCCCCAAAUCUACAGAUCAAAAAAGCAAAGUCCAGAGAAGUAACGUCUCAAGGUCACAUAAGUCAGUCCCUAUCAACAUCAGCACUAAAAUCAAGGCUUCCUAAAACCAGUCGGAUCAUUGUUCCAUUACAGCAUAUGGCUUUUCUUCUGGAAAAAUGUCCAACUGUAGCAGACAGAAAGGAAGCCAAGAGAGGGUGUUUACAGCAAGGAGGGGCUAUGAAAUAUCUUCACUCCAGGUUCUUUACGAGCUGCAGUGUAUCAUUUUUAUCAGUAAUUGGAAGCAUGCUGCAUGUUUGACUCUGUGGACUCCUGCUUUACACAACAGAACAUUCCGAUGGUGUGCAUGUGCCAUACCCUGCCGUAACAAAUCUCAGCUGGUCCUCUGCUGUCCUCUGGGGAGAAUGCAUUUGAACUCAUCUCAAAGAGCUGGUUUUCUACCCUGGAGGUCUCCGAUGGCUACUGCGAGAAGAAAGCCAUGUCCCGAAAGCAGUGAUACAGAUUGGCAGCCACUGCAGAGAUGCAGAAUGUCGAAGAGUGUGUGUGUUGGAAUUCCUGGACAGACACUGCUCUGAAAGAAAAACCCUCUGGUUUUGGAAGUCUGGUUGGGCAAGGCAGGCGGAGGUCAUGGAGGGGCCGGCGUGAUGGAAUCCUCGGUGCAGCUGACUGCGCAGCCCGACACUGGCGUGGACACUGGGAUGCGUCAUGCAACAUCCAACCAGAGCACACUCACGAGGACAAACAUGGGCCCACCUAUUUACCAUCAGAAAAACAAAAUCACGCUCUUUCACUUUGAAAGAAGGGGGAAACUGGAAAGUUAUUAUUUGAAAUAAAAU
rnacentral:lncRNA from 1 species